rnacentral:lncRNA from 1 species
CCACCACCGGGACCGCCUCUUCAGAAUUUGCAGCCUCAACCGCAGCAACAGCCACCGGUGUAUAAUAUUAACAAGAGUGAUUUUAGGGAUGUUGUUCAGAAACUUACUGGUUCCCCUGCUCAUGAACGGAUUUCUACUCCUCCGCCUAUACAACAGCCUAAGGCUCCGAGUUCACGGUUGCAGAGGAUCCGUCCUCCGCCGCUUGCUCAGAUUACCAACCGGCCUCCUCCCUUCGUGAACGCUUCUAACGCUGUUGCUGGUGGAGGUAUUGGAUGUGGUGGUGGAUUUGUUGGCGGUCAACGGCCUGUUCAAGCACAGCCGUUAUCUCCUCUUCCGCCGUUUCCAGGGGUGCAUGCCGCGGCGGAAUCGCCGAUCUCCGCUUACAUGAGGUUUCUGCAGAGCUCAAUCGCCUCU